GACGAACGCUGGCGGCGUGCUUAACACAUGCAAGUCGAACGGAAAGGCCCUGCUUUUGUGGGGUGCUCGAGUGGCGAACGGGUGAGUAACACGUGAGUAACCUGCCCUUGACUUUGGGAUAACUUCAGGAAACUGGAGCUAAUACCGGAUAGGAGCUCCUGCUGCAUGGUGGGGGUUGGAAAGUUUCGGCGGUUGGGGAUGGACUCGCGGCUUAUCAGCUUGUUGGUGGGGUAGUGGCUUACCAAGGCUUUGACGGGUAGCCGGCCUGAGAGGGUGACCGGCUACAUUGGGACUGAGAUACGGCCCAGACUCCUACGGGAGGCAGCAGUGGGGAAUAUUGCACAAUGGGCGGAAGCCUGAUGCAGCAACGCCGCGUGCGGGAUGACGGCCUUCGGGUUGUAAACCGCUUUCGCCUGUGACGAAGCGUGAGUGACGGUAAUGGGUAAAGAAGCACCGGCUAACUACGUG
rnacentral:rRNA from 1 species